CUCGGGGCGGCGGGUCUGGGUCUGGGAGGAGCCCCCGGCCCCACGUGGGGAGACGGCCGCCAGGAGGGCGGGGCCCUGGAGACACGCCGGAAACGCCCGGGCUCCUGCGGGUGGAAAACGGGACCAGAGGUCGGGAGCUGUCCCCACUCCAGGCCCGCGGGCCGGCAAGCAAAGAGGACGGAGCGCGGAGGGGCGGACUCCCCGUGGAAAGUCGCUACGGGCGGAAGCCGAGGCUUCUUGGGGUGAGGGCUGGUCGGCUGGGGCCGGCGCUCGCCUGCUCCGCGAGCCCCGCGGCCGGGGUGAGGAGCGCCGGUUUCCCUCCGCCUGCCAACGCGCCUCGUCCUUGCUGAUUUAUUUGCUGAACCUCAGGCCUCAUCACACCCACCAGCUCUGGCGGAGACGGAGCAGGUGUGAGUUGGUGUGAAAAGCUGGGGAAGACGAGCAGCUGCUGAACAAGGGGCACACCUGGUCCGCGGCCCAGAAGCCGCUCGUGCAAACAGACGGGGCUGUCCGUCGAGUUUUCGGGAGUUUCAGGGGCUGGCUGGUGAACGCAGCCACUGGUAAAAGGCGCUCAAAACGCCUGGCCUUCUCGUGGCGACCACACCCAGCCCUCGUUCUCGAGGGUCCCUCGCGUGACCUCAGCGCUCCCCACGACCGAGGAAGAACGGGGGCCGCCCCUGGACGCCGAGGCCCACGCCCAG